UGGGGAAUAUUGCACAAUGGGGGAAACCCUGAUGCAGCAACGCCGCGUGAGUGAUGACGGUCUUCGGAUUGUAAAGCUCUGUCUUCAGGGACGAUAAUGACGGUACCUGAGGAGGAAGCCACGGCUAACUACGUGCCAGCAGCCGCGGUAAUACGUAGGUGGCAAGCGUUGUCCGGAUUUACUGGGCGUAAAGGGAGCGUAGGCGGAUUUUUAAGUGGGAUGUGAAAUACCCGGGCUUAACCUGGGUGCUGCAUUCCAAACUGGAAGUCUAGAGUGCAGGAGGGGAAAGCGGAAUUCCUAGUGUAGCGGUGAAAUGCGUAGAGAUUAGGAAGAACACCAGUGGCGAAGGCGGCUUUCUGGACUGUAACUGACGCUGAGGCUCGAAAGCGUGGGGAGCGAACAGG
rnacentral:rRNA from 1 species